rnacentral:rRNA from 1 species
UACGUAGGGUGCAAGCGUUGUCCGGAAUUAUUGGGCGUAAAGAGCUCGUAGGCGGCUUGUCGCGUCGGCUGUGAAAACCUGGGGCUCAACCCCGGGCCUGCAGCCGAUACGGGCAAGCUAGAGUUCGGUAGGGGAGACUGGAAUUCCUGGUGUAGCGGUGAAAUGCGCAGAUAUCAGGAAGAACACCCGUGGCUAAGGCGGCUCUCUAGUACGGUACUGACGCUGAGACGCGAAAGCGUGGGGAGCGAACAGG